GAUGAAGAACGCAGCGAAAUGCGAUACGUAAUUUGAAUUGCAGAAUUCAGUGAAUCAUCGAGUCUUUGAACGCACAUUGCGCCCCCUGGUAUUCCGGGGGGCAUGCCUGUCCGAGCGUCAUUGCUGCCCUCAAGCACGGCUUGUGUGUUGGGCCUCCGUCCUCCUCCCGGGGGACGGGCCCGAAAGGCAGCGGCGGCACCGCGUCCGGUCCUCGAGCGUAUGGGGCUUCGUCACCCGCUCUUGUAGGCCCGGCCGGCGCUUGCCGACACAUCAAUCUUUUUUCCAGGUUGACCUCGGAUCAGGUAGGGAUACCCGCUGAACUUAAGCAUAUCAAUAAGCGAGGA
rnacentral:misc_RNA from 1 species